ACUGCUCAGAAGAUGGCUCUCCUUGGCCGUAAGAGCAAGAGCUAGUUGGGGGAACCACAACUGAUAGUCAAGGCAUUGAAAAACAAUGGUUUGAAGAGCUGAUUGGCCCCAUGGAACUUGCUUUAAAAACAAAUAGUGUAGGAAUUCAAUGGAGAAUCUUUUUAAGGACAGGCUCAUCACCAUUAAUCAGAUUCCCAAGUAAAUCAGAUUUUUCAGAAGUGAUAAAUCAAUAGCCUAAUGUGCAUAGGUGGUAUGAGAUAUUUUUUAUAUGAGAGGACUCCUAUUUUUUCUACAGACCAUGACCACUGCGUGGGUAUUAUUUUCUAAAGUAAUCUCUACACCCAACAUGGACCUUGAACUCACAAACUCAAGAUCAAGAGUCACAUGUUUCACUCUCUGAGCCAGCCAGAUCAUGAAGCAGAGAACUCCUUGCAAACAAACCAGUUGGGAUGCGCUGGCCAGCGCCAGAGACCUCAGAAGAGUAGAAGACAGAGAUGGUAAUUCAAGGGCAGCCUUAGGCCACACUUUUAAAGCACCCCCAAUAUGCCAGGAACUGGAACAUUUGCCAGGACCACAAUGAGGAACAGAUCCCGGCAUGACAAAGAAGUGAAUAAAAUAGUUGGCCAGCAGAGAUGGGUGAGUGCAUAAAGACAAACUGUUUCUGUGAAGCAGGCUUUGGAAAUUCCAUAAUGCCAAGGCAUAGGAGGAGCUUCCCAGGGGUCUACUCAGGAGACCGAAAGAGACAAAAAUGCCCCAUCAGGCUCCUGUAUAUCCAAAGCUACCCUAAACUGGAGAAAGAGAAAGAAGGAUCCUUUCAAUGAGAACAAGGGACUAUCCAUUCCUCUCCUCCCCACGUCCAAGAAUAUCAUAAGUACCAAUUUUGAUUCCAAUAUUUCAAACUAUAGCAUCAUAAAUUAUGAUGCGUGGCCCUGAGAUUUAAUAACCUGCCAUAUUACAAUGAAGAGCUGUCCCAUCAAUAUCAAUAACUGAGAACAUGUGCAGAAAUCUGUCAAAUAUAUAGGAAUCGAAAGAGCAAGACGUCUUACCAUACUUCCUGUGCUAAUGUACACUAAAUGAUUUUAAAUGCCCUUUUUCAGUUUCAUAGAUUUUUUGGCAUGUAUUUGGCCAAUUUCAGCCUUACAUAAAGAAACAUGUAUGUGUGUUUUCUUGGAGAAAUCUUUACAAUAUUUGAUGGCCACGUUUUUAAAGAUGCAACAAAAACUUUUGUUUGGAGAGUUUAAUUAUGAGCACUACAGUGACUAUUCUCCCCUAUGUCUCAUGCAUCCCCAGGUUUGUUCUAUUAAACAUCUGA